UAUAGGGAUCUGCCUGACAGUGGGGGACAACAGCCGGAAACGGCUGCUAAUACCGCAUACGCUCUACGGAGGAAAGUGGGGGAUCUUCGGACCUCACGCUGACAGAUGAACCUAUAUCAGAUUAGCUAGAUGGUGGGGUAAAGGCCUACCAUGGCGACGAUCUGUAGCUGGUUUGAGAGAAUGAUCGGCCACACUGGGACUGAGACACGGCCCAG
rnacentral:rRNA from 1 species